UACGUAGGGGCCCAGCGUUGUCCGGAUUUACUGGGCGUAAAGAGCGCGCAGGCGGUCGUUCAAGUCGAGUGUGAAAGCCCCCGGCUCAACUGGGGAGGGUCACUCGAUACUGAUCGACUUGAAGGCGGGAGAGGGAAGCGGAAUUCCCGGUGUAGUGGUGAAAUGCGCAGAUAUCAGGAGGAACACCGGUGGCGAAGGCGGGUCUCUGGGCAGCUACUGACGCUGAGGAGCGAAAGCGUGGGGAGCGAACAGG
rnacentral:rRNA from 1 species